UAGGCCAGAUUGGGAAGACUUUUCUCAGC
rnacentral:piRNA from 1 species